AGGAACGCGUGGACAACCUACCCCGGCGUGGGGGAUACCCGCCAGAAAUGGCGGCUAAUACCGCGUACGGUCCCAUGGCGGAGGGCUGUGGGAAGAAAGCAGCGAUGCGCGCUGGGAGGGGUCUGCGGCCGAUUAGCUGGUUGGCGGGGUAGCGGCCCACCAAGGCGAUGAUCGGUAGCUGGUCUGAGAGGAUGAUCAGCCACACGGGGACUGAGACACGGCCCCG
rnacentral:rRNA from 1 species